CCUACGGGAGGCAGCAGUGAGGAAUAUUGGUCAAUGGGCGGAAGCCUGAACCAGCCAAGUCGCGUGAGGGAUUAAGGCCCUGCGGGUCGUAAACCUCUUUUGCCGGGGAGCAGAGGUCCGGACGUGUCCGGGCCGGGAGAGUACCCGGAGAAAAAGCAUCGGCUAACUCCGUGCCAGCAGCCGCGGUAAUACGGAGGAUGCGAGCGUUAUCCGGAUUUAUUGGGUUUAAAGGGUGCGUAGGCGGGCAUUUAAGCCGGCGGUCAAAUGUCGGGGCUCAACCCCGGCCUGCCGUCGGAACUGGGGGCCUGGAGUGGGCGAGAAGUAUGCGGAAUGCGUGGUGUAGCGGUGAAAUGCAUAGAUAUCAUGAAGAACUCCGAUCGCGAAGGCAAGUGUCCGGGGUGCAACUGACGCUGAGGCUCGAAAGUGCGGGUAUCAAACAGGAUUAGAUACCCCUGUAGUC
rnacentral:rRNA from 1 species